rnacentral:rRNA from 1 species
GACGAACGCUGGCGGCGUGCUUAACACAUGCGAGUCGAACGGAAAGGCCCCUUUGGGGGUACUCUAGUGGCGAACGGGUGAGUAACACGUGAGUAACCUGCCCUUGACUUCGGGAUAACUUCAGGAAACUGGGGCUAAUACCGGAUAGGAAUCCUUGCUGCAUGGUGGGGGUUGGAAAGCUUCGGCGGUUUUGGAUGGACUCGCGGCUUAUCAGCUUGUUGGUGGGGUAGUGGCUUACCAAGGCUUUGACGGGUAGCCGGCCUGAGAGGGCGACCGGCCACACUGGGACUGAGAUACGGCCCAGACACCUAAGGGAGGCAGCAGUGGGGAAUAUUGCACAAUGGGCGGAAGCCUGAUGCAGAAACGCCGCGGGCGGGAUGACGGCCUUCGGGUUGUAAACCGCUUUCAGAAGGGGCGAAGCUUGUGGUGACGGUACCUGCAGAAGAAGCACCGGCUAACUACGUG